rnacentral:rRNA from 1 species
GACGAACCGUCCAACCGUUGUUCGGAAUCACUGGGCUUAAAGGGCGCGUAGGCGGACUGCCAAGUCCGGGGUGAAAUCUUUCGGCUUAACCGGAAAAGGGCCUUGGAAACUGGCGGUCUCGAGGGAGGUAGGGGCCUGUGGAACUUCGGGUGGAGCGGUGAAAUGCGUUGAUAUCCGAAGGAACGCCGGUGGCGAAAGCGACGGGCUGGAUCUCUUCUGACGCUGAGGCGCGAAAGCCAGGGGAGCAAACGGG